GACGAAGGGGGCUAGCGUUGUUCGGAAUUACUGGGCGUAAAGCGCGUGUAGGCGGUUGUUCAAGUCGGGUGUGAAAGCCUUGAGCUCAACUCAAGAAAUGCACUCGAUACUGGAUGACUUGAGGACCGGAGAGGAUAGUGGAAUUCCCAGUGUAGUGGUGAAAUACGUAGAGAUUGGGAAGAACACCAGUGGCGAAGGCGACUCUCUGGGUUCAUACUGACGCUGAGGUGCGAAAGCGUGGGGAGCAAACAGG
rnacentral:rRNA from 1 species